rnacentral:lncRNA from 1 species
ACGCUCGCACUCGCGCGGCCGCGGGGCCGGCUGCUUACCUCCGGGGCCUCAUGGUCGCGUCGCUAGCCUGGAUGCCCUGGACAUCAUUCCGAACAGCACAAUUCAAGGGUAACCACAGUCUAGAAAAAAGCAUCUCUGGCCUGGGAGUGAGAUCAAUGCAGACAAACUGAUCAGAAGCAAAAUCCUGUUGUGACCCCUCCUAAGAAUUUUCCACAUUGGCUACCACCUUCAGCAAAUUCCCUGGAUGGCUGCUCAACUUUCCAUUGAGCUAGUGGAGUGAAUACCACUUACUUUAAAGAUGCCUUUUCACUGGCAAGGUGGCUGAAACAACAAAAAUGUAACGUCUUACAGAUCUGAAGGCUUCCGGAUCGAUUCUGGACUGUGAUGAGAAUCUGUGCCAUGCCUCUCUCCUGGCUUCUGGUAGACUCGGGCAUUCCUUAGCUUGUAAAUGGCUGCUGCUUGUGUCAUCACAUUGUCUUCCCUUUCUACUUAUCUGUUCCCAUGCCCCAAUUUUUCCUUUUCAGGACACCAGUCAGAUUAGGACCCACCCUAAUGAUCUCAUCUUAACUUGAUUAACUACAAGGACCCUAUUUUUAAGUACACAUUUACAGAGACUGGGGGGUAGGACUUCAACAUCUUUUUUGGAGGGAUGCAGUUCAACCCAUAACAAGAAUCAUUGUUAGAAAUGAUUUUGCUUCUUCACUGAAAAAUUAAUAUCAUUCUGCAGAGAACUGACUUGCUGCACAUGGCACAGAUUUUUUGCAUUUAUCAUAGUAAAAGAAAUCAGUCACAAAAGUUUGUUUUAGACUGCUACAUACCUAUCACAAAUACAAAUUAUUUCCAACAUCAAAAGUUAAUAAAGCAAGCACUGUCACCCAAA